CAAAAGGAGUUUUUCAUCUGGGGAGAGCUCAAAAUUGAUUAAAGUGCCAAUGAAAGGUAAAGUUGCCCUGAAUGCCAAAGGUGCAAAGAAAAGUAAAAGACAGCCUUCAAAGCAGAAGGCUCAUCAGCAGAUGAGCUCUUCCAGUGGCAAUCAUGGUCAAGUACCGGAUGAGAGCACUUCCAGUGAAACAUCUGAGGAUGAAGGAAGACCUGCAGCAACAACCAGGAGUGAAAGGAACGAGG